CGUGUAGGCGGUUUGGUAAGUUGGACGUGAAAGCUCCUGGCUCAACUAGGAGAGGUCGUUCAAUACUGUCAGACUUGAGGAUGGUAGAGGGAGGUGGAAUUCCGGGUGUAGUGGUGAAAUGCGCAGAUAUCCGGAGGAACACCAGUGGCGAAAGCGGCCUCCUGGACCAUUCCUGACGCUCAGACGCGAAAGCUAGGGUAGCAAACG
rnacentral:rRNA from 1 species